GACGAACGCUGGCGGCGUGCCUAACACAUGCAAGUCGAACGGUAAGGCCCUUCGGGGUACACGAGUGGCGAACGGGUGAGUAACACGUGGGUGAUCUGCCCUGCACUUCGGGAUAAGCCUGGGAAACUGGGUCUAAUACCGGAUAGGACCACUGCCUGCAUGGGUGGUGGUGGAAAGCUUUUGCGGUGUGGGAUGGGCCCGCGGCCUAUCAGCUUGUUGGUGGGGUGAUGGCGUACCAAGGCGACGACGGGUAGCCGGCCUGAGAGGGUGACCGGCCACACUGGGACUGAGAUACGGCCCAGAAUCCUACGGGAGGCAGCAGUUGGGAAUAUUGCACAAUGGUCGCAAGCCUGAUGCAGCGGCGCCGCGUGAGGGAUGACGGCCUUCGGGUUGUAAACCUCUUUCAGCACCGACGAAGCGCAAGUGACGGUAGGUGCAGAAGAAGGACCGGCCAACUACGUGCCAGCCGCCGCGGUAA
rnacentral:rRNA from 1 species